rnacentral:rRNA from 1 species
AUUGAACGCUGGCGGCAGGCCUAACACAUGCAAGUCGAACGGUAACAGAAAGCAGCUUGCUGCUUUGCUGACGAGUGGCGGACGGGUGAGUAAUGUCUGGGAAACUGCCUGAUGGAGGGGGAUAACUACUGGAAACGGUAGCUAAUACCGCAUAACGUCGCAAGACCAAAGAGGGGGACCUUAGGGCCUCUUGCCAUCGGAUGUGCCCAGAUGGGAUUAGCUAGUAGGUGGGGUAACGGCUCACCUAGGCGACGAUCCCUAGCUGGUCUGAGAGGAUGACCAGCCACACUGGAACUGAGACACGGUCCAGACUCCUACGGGAGGCAGCAGUGGGGAAUAUUGCACAAUGGGCGCAAGCCUGAUGCAGCCAUGCCGCGUGUAUGAAGAAGGCCUUCGGGUUGUAAAGUACUUUCAGCGGGGAGGAAGGGAGUAAAGUUAAUACCUUUGCUCAUUGACGUUACCCGCAGAAGAAGCACCGGCUAACUCCGUGCCAGCAGCCGCGGUAAUACGGANGGUGCAAGCGUUAAUCGGAAUUACUGGGCGUAAAGCGCACGCANGCNGUUUGUUAANNCANAUGUGAAAUCCCCNGGGCUCAACCUGGAACUNGCAUCUGAUACUGGCAAGCUUGANUCUCGNAGAGGGGGGUAGAAUUCCAGNUNUAGCGGUUGAAAUGCAUACAGAUCUGGAGGAGAUGCCAGG